GACGAACGCUGGCGGCGUGCUUAACACAUGCAAGUCGAACGGAAAGGCCCCCAUCUUGGUGGGGGUGCUCGAGUGGCGAACGGGUGAGUAACACGUGGGUGAUCUGCCUUUUACUUCGGGAUAAGCUUGGGAAACUGGGUCUAAUACCGGAUAGGACCAUGGUUUAGUGUCUCAUGGUGGAAAGAUUAUUGUUUUUGUGCAGGAUGAGCUCGCGGCCUAUCAGCUUGGUGGUGGGGUAAUGGCCGACCAAGGCGUCGACGGGUAGCCGGCCUGAGAGGGUGGACGGCCACACUGGGACUGAGAUCCGGCCCAGACUCGUACGGGAGGCAGCAGUGGGGAAGAUUGGACAAUGGGCGCAAGCCUGAUGCAGCGACGCAGCGUGGGGGAUGACGGCCUUGGGGUUGUAAACUCCUUUCGUUAGGGACGAAGCCACGCUUGUUGGGUGUGGUGACGGUACCUUUGUUAAGAAGCACCGGCUAACUACGUG
rnacentral:rRNA from 1 species